GACGAACGCUGGCGGCGUGCUUAACACAUGCAAGUCGAACGAUGAAGCCUAGCUUGCUGGGUGGAAGAGUGGCGAACGGGUGAGUAACACGUGAGUAACCUGCCUAUUACUCUGGGAUAAGCGCUGGAAACGGCGUCUAAUACUGGAUAUGACCUGUCACCGCAUGGUGUGUGGGUGGAAAGAUUUAUCGGUGGUAGAUGGACUCGCGGCCUAUCAGCUAGUUGGUGAGGUAAUGGCUCACCAAGGCGACGACGGGUAGCCGGCCUGAGAGGGUGACCGGCCACACUGGAACUGAGACACGGUCCAGACUCCUACGGGAGGCAGCAGUGGGGAAUAUUGCACAGUGGGCGAAAGCCUGAUGCAGCAACGCCGCGUGAGGGAUGAAGGCCUUCGGGUUGUAAACCUCUUUUAGUAGGGAAGAAGCGAAAGUGACGGUACCUACAGAAAAAGCACCGGCUAACUACGUGCCAGCAGCCGCAGUAA
rnacentral:rRNA from 1 species